ensembl:lncRNA
CCGGAUCCCCAAGGUCUGACGACACGUAUCCUAAGGGCUUGGAAUUGAGGAUACCUUCUACCUCAAUUAAGACUGUGAGCAGGACUUCUUCUUGGAGGGACUAAGCACCAAUCACCACCUGCAGGGCUUUCUUGACGGAUUGUAUCUCACGUUCCCAGGCGCCACCAAAGUGGGGAGCCGCUGGUGGGUUGAACUUGAAUUUGAUCCGUUGCUUGGCAAGUCUCUCUUGUAGCUGUGGUUCCAUUGCAGCAAACGCCUCCUUCAGCUCUCUCUCUGCACCUCGGAAGUUUGUUCCCUGAUCAGAGAGAACCUCGAAAGGGGUGCCUCUACGUGCGAUGAAUCGCCUCAAUGCUAGGAGGAAGGCGUCAGCGUCGAUACUAUUUAGCAGAUCCAAGUGGACACAUCGAGUGGUGAGACAUUUGAAUAUGACACCCCAUCGUUUCUCACUGCGCCGCCCGACCUUGAUGACGUAUGGUCCAAAGCAGUCCACUCCCGUCGAGAAGAACGGAGGCUUGAAGAUCCGCAGGCGGGCAGGGGGUAGGUCCGCCAUUAUUGGAACCACUGGCUGCCCUCUCCAUUUUCUGCAUUCCGUACAAGUCCUCUGAUGGUGCUUGAUAGCCUGUCUCCCACGCAGGACCCAGUACUUGCGCCUGAUCUCGGCGAAGACCCUAUCGGGUCCUGGGUGGAGUAGUCGUGCAUCCACGUCCUUGAUAAGGAGUCUUGUUACCGCAUGGCAGGGAUCGAGAACUAUGGGGUGGAUGUCGGUAGAACAGGAAGUUUCCAUACGACGAAAGCGUCCACCGACCCGGAUAAGACCCAUUGUUGGAUCCAUCUCCGGUGUAAGCAUACUGAGCUUACUGCUGGGCAGUACUGGUUUACCAGCCCUGAGACACUUAAUCUCUCCUGGGAAGCAGUCUGCUUGGCUAGCCUUCAGCAGGAGGGCUUCGGCGUCGAGAAGGUCCGGUUGAGGUAGGGAUGGGUCAGCCGCCGCCCCAUCAAAUAACUGCUGGGUGGCGUUGACCAGGUCUGUCCAGCUGUCGAACUGUGUGACGUCUGGUGUUUGAGGUGCCAGACUCAUCUGUGUGAGGCCGCAGAAGAUACUGUGCUUGAGCUCAGCAGCAUCUUCUGGCUCUGUGGAGGUGGGAAGCGAUGGCCAAUUUUUAGGUGGACCACGGAGGAACGAUGGCCCUUGAAUCCACCGAUUUGGCGCCGCCAGCUCAACCAAAGUCUUGCCGCGGGUGAGAUCGUCGGCUGGAUUGUUGGCCGUGUCCACAUACCGCCAGGUAUGCAAGGACGUCAGGUCAUGAAUCUCUGAGACUCUGGUUCCAACGAAGACCUUGAACCUGCAGGACUCGGAUGUCAACCAGGUUAAGACGGUGGUGGAGUCAGUCCAAAGGAAGGUCUGGGUGAUGCUUAAGGUGAGCUCUCGAUGAACGAGGGAGGACAGCUGGGCUCCUGUCAAUGCUGCACAGAGCUCUAGACGUGGCAUUGACUGCUGGCGCCUCGGAGCCACCCUAGACCUUGCCAUAACGAAUGAGACAUGGACAGUGUCGUCACUCUUCGUUGUGAGGUAAACUACCGAACCGUAUGCCUGUUCAGAGGCAUCACAGAAGACAUGCAUUGUAUACUCUGUGGCAUCAUUGGCAAUGUCCUGUGGUGCGUAGGUUCGCGGUAGGGAGAUAUUUACCAGCUCGGGGAGUUCCCUCUCCCAGCUGGACCAGGCCUCAAGGAUGUCAGGAGGAAGGUUUGGGUCGUCCCAGCUCCUCUUCUUCGCCCACAGUUUCUGGACGAGAACCUUGGCCCUCGUUGUGUAGGGAAUGAUGAAUCCAAGAGGAUCAUAUUGUCUGGCCAGUACCUUGUACACGUGGCGCAUGGUGGGAAUCUCGCUCUCCAUCGGCUUGGGCUUGUAGCCAAGUUGAUCGGUCGGACAAUGCCACCGUAGGCCCAGAGCCGGCUCCUGAGGGUCGGUACUCUUCUCAGCUAACCAUAGCUCUGUGCUCUCUGAUCUGGCAGUGGAAGGCAGAUGGGAGACGACAGAUGGGAAGUUACUUGCCCACUGCCGGAUCUCGAAUCCUCCCGAGGCCAGACACUGCCGCAUCUUGUCCACGAGAAGCUUGGCAGACUCGGGUGUUGAAAGGCUCUGGAGACAGUUGUCCACGUAGAACGACUGCUCUAUGGACUGCAGGAUGUCUUCGUUUCCCUCUGCGUGGUCUUUGACAUGCUUCUGCAGCGCAAACGUUACACAGCAUGGGCUGCUUGUUGUACCGAACGGCAAGACUUGCCACUGGUAGAUGUUAGGUUGCUCUUCUCGUCGCAGGUUCCUCCAGGCGAACCUCAGCAAUGGCCGGUCCUCUGGUAGGAGCCGAACCUGAUGGAACAUUGCCCGGAUAUCUCCACUGAUGGCGACAGCAUACUGCCGGAAUCGCAGGAGGACCCCGAUGAGCGAUGGUCCAAGGGUUGGACCUGGGAGGAGUUGCUCAUUAAGGGAGAGGCCGCAGUAGGUGAAGGAGCAAUCAAAAACUAGGCGAUCCUUGCCGUUGUGAUGGACGAGGUGAUGGGGAAUGAACCAUGACUCACUGGACUUAUCCGUCUCUUCUUUGCUGAGCUUGGUAACGCACCCUCCAUCGAUGAGCUUUUGGAUCUCUGCUUCGUAGACUUUAGCCUUAGCUGGGUCCUUUUCCAGUCGGCGUUCUGUGCUGCGGAGCAUUGGCAUGACUGCUUCAGCAGCGGCUUUCAGCAGUGGCGCGUCCUUAGCCCGGAGCAGAGGUGUGGCGUACCGGAAUGUGUCAAUGACCUUCACCCUCUCAGUGCGUGCUUCCAGGAUGCUCACGGCCUCUUGGUCCAGACGGGACCGUACUGCUAGCUUCUCGCUUCGAAACGGCAGGACGUCGAGCUGCCAGAGACGUUCAACAUGUUGGUAGUAGUCGUCUGGCGCUGGCUUGAGAGAUGUGAAGUAGCAUGAAGCAGCAUGAGACCCGAGACCAUCUGGACCCUGGAGCACCCAGCCGAGCGCUGUGUGUACAGCUGCGGGUCCACCUCUGGGGCCGAACCUGACGGGCUCUUUGGCUGUGAUCAGGUGGGUGCAAUCUGCACCGAUUAGCAGUAGCGGACGCACCUUACUGAAGUUAUGCAGCUGGAGGCCCCUCAAGUGGCGAUAGCGCUUCUGAAGUGCAGUUACGGGGUAGGAUUGCUCUGACAGGGCUAGCUGUCCCGCUGUGAAGGCACCCUUAACCAGGUGCUGUUCUGAAGGCCGUGCCAGGGAGGCCACAUGGAAGUUUACCGACGCACCAGUGAGGCGAGCCACAUCUUGGCGGAUUGUCCGCAGAGCGAGAGAUUCGGCUUCGCCUUUGAGUUCCAGGUGACGAACAGCAGCUGGCAGUAUUAUUGUGCGUUCGGCCCCAUCGUCAAGGAUCGUGUAGGUGUGCAGCGACUUGCUCCCAUGGCUAAUGAUGAUUGGCACCACCUUGAGGUACACCUUUCCUCCUUGCUUGGAGUUGGCUAGUGAGGCGCGAUCCUCUGGCGUGAUGAGGUAGACACCGGGACCUGGCUUGGUAAUGGUAUGGAGAACUCUGAGGUGAACCUCCUGACAUUCACUGCACCCUUUCUUCAGGGUGCAGGCGUCUUGCUUAUGGUUGGUGCGACCACACUUACGACAACGCUUGCCGUCUGCUAUCCACUUCUCGAUCUCUUCCGGUGAGUGCCGGACGAUGUCUGGACACUGUGAUAGGUAGUGAUCGGCACUCUUGCAGAAGAGACAUAUCCUCUCGAACUUCUGCUGCUUGGCCGCCGACCUAAACGUGUCUGAAAGCUGACGGCUGUCAGAUUUAGGCUUGUCGGAGCCAUGAUAAACUGAGAGGUUGCGAGGCCUGGGCACAGGAACUUGCCUAUCUCUGUUGGGGGCCUGUGGCCCUUCAGUCCGAUGGCGCUGUGCCAUUCUUGCGGACAGUCUUUGGGCUUCAGCCUUCACCCUGAGCCAGUCGGAGAGGUCUCGAAGGUUGUACGGGUUUAGGCUGUUUGUAUUGAGGCGACCUUGAGCCUGUAGAUGCUCCACAAAGCCGUCCCUCGAUUGCUUAGGGAGCUUACUCAGGAGCCGAUCGACAUGGCCGGUCGACAUCACUUCCAUUCCGUUGGGCCCUUCCAGCGAUGUAAGCAUUCCCACUAGCAGGUCGACGCUAAGGGCGAAGCUCUGGCAGGCUUUGGAAUCUCCUGCUUUGAGGUCAGGAGAGUUCAGGAUCGUGGCAAUCUCACUUUGCGCGAGUUGAUGUGGCUGUCCGUAUUGCCGCUGUAAGGCCUGCAUGGCGGCGGUGUAGGGCUGCGCAUAAUGCCUGCAGGACUGUGCUAUCAACCUGGCUUCAUCCAGAACCAGGUGCUCCAUAAGUACACGGUACUUGUAAUGCUCAGAGAGUUCAGUGUGGGGACUGAGUAGGUGGUCCAGCGCCAUCUUAAGGUCAGUGAAGUCUCUCUCAUUGUCGUUGACCAACUUAGGCAGUUUUGGUACUGGGACUGGCUGCCUGGGAGGCUGGAGAGCGGAUGGCAUCUUUGUUGGAGCAGGCUGGGGGUGGUACACCGGUUGUGGAUGAUGGCUCAGCUGGUACUGUGGUAGAGGCACCAGCUGAUAGGCUGGCUGAGUUGUUGGAGCAGGCUGGGGGUGGUACACCGGUUGUGGAUGAUGGCUCAGCUGGUACGGUGGUAGAGGCGCCAGCUGAUAGGCUGGCUGAGUUGGGAUGACUGGCGGAGGCUGAUACGCUGUCUGCUGGGGGACAGCAGGUGUGUAUGGUAAGGGCGCCACUGCCCAUGUGGGUGGUUGACAGGUAAACUGCUGAGGC